rnacentral:rRNA from 1 species
GCUCCUUGAUUCAGCGGCGGACGGGUGAGUAAUGCCUAGGAAUCUGCCUGGUAGUGGGGGACAACGUUUCGAAAGGAACGCUAAUACCGCAUACGUCCUACGGGAGAAAGCAGGGGACCUUCGGGCCUUGCGCUAUCAGAUGAGCCUAGGUCGGAUUAGCUAGUAGGUGAGGUAAUGGCUCACCUAGGCGACGAUCCGUAACUGGUCUGAGAGGAUGAUCAGUCACACUGGAACUGAGACACGGUCCAGACUCCUACGGGAGGCAGCAGUGGGGAAUAUUGGACAAUGGGCGAAAGCCUGAUCCAGCCAUGCCGCGUGUGUGAAGAAGGUCUUCGGAUUGUAAAGCACUUUAAGUUGGGAGGAAGGGCAGUAAGCUAAUACCUUGCUGUUUUGACGUUACCGACAGAAUAAGCACCGGCUAACUCUGUGCCAGCAGCCGCGGUAAUACAGAGGGUGCAAGCGUUAAUCGGAAUUACUGGGCGUAAAGCGCGCGUAGGUGGUUCGUUAAGUUGGAUGUGAAAGCCCCGGGCUCAACCUGGGAACUGCAUCCAAAACUGGCGAGCUAGAGUAUGGUAGAGGGUGGUGGAAUUUCCUGUGUAGCGGUGAAAUGCGUAGAUAUAGGAAGGAACACCAGUGGCGAAGCGACCACCUGGACUGAUACUGACACUGAGGUGCGAAAGCGUGGGGAGCAACAGGAUUAGAUACCCUGGUAGUCCACGCCGUAACGAUGUCAACUAGCCGUUGGAAUCCUUGAGAUUUUAGUGCGCAGCUA